rnacentral:rRNA from 1 species
AUUGAACGCUGGCGGCAGGCCUAACACAUGCAAGUCGAACGAGUGGCGGACGGGUGAGUAAUGUCUGGGAAACUGCCUGAUGGAGGGGGAUAACUACUGGAAACGGUAGCUAAUACCGCAUACCAUCGGAUGUGCCCAGAUGGGAUUAGCUAGUAGGUGGGGUAAAGGCUAACAUAGGCGACGAUCCCUAGCUGGUCUGAGAGGAUGACCAGCAAUACUUGAACUUGGACACAGGCCAGAGGCCUCCGGGAGGAAUCAGGGGGGAAUAUCUCCCAAUGUGCGAAAGGCUGAUGCAGCCAUGCCGCGUGUAUGAAGAAGGACUUCGGGUUUUAAAGUACGUUAAGCGGGGCGGCGUUACCCGCAGAAGAAGGACAGGUUAACUCCGUGUCAGCCGCCGCGGUAAUUC